CAGUCGCCGCGGGAAUACAGAGGGUGCGAGCGUUAAUCGGAUUUACUGGGCGUAAAGCGUGCGUAGGCGGCUUUUUAAGUCGGAUGUGAAAUCCCUGAGCUUAACUUAGGAAUUGCAUUCGAUACUGGGAAGCUAGAGUAUGGGAGAGGAUGGUAGAAUUCCAGGUGUAGCGGUGAAAUGCGUAGAGAUCUGGAGGAAUACCGAUGGCGAAGGCAGCCAUCUGGCCUAAUACUGACGCUGAGGUACGAAAGCAUGGGGAGCAAACAGGAUUAGAGACCCCCGUAGUCCCUGUCUCUUAUAA
rnacentral:rRNA from 1 species